GACGAACCGUGCGAACGUUAUCCGGAUUCACUGGGCGCAAAGCGCAUGUAGGCGGUUGCACAAGUCCGUUGUUAAAGCCCCUGGCUCAACUGGGGGAGGUCAAUGGAGACUGUGCGACUUGAGGGCAAUAGAGGCACGUGGAACUCCCGGUGUAGCGGUGGAAUGCGUAGAGAUCGGGAAGAACACCAGUGGCGAAGGCGACGUGCUGGGUUGCACCUGACGCUGAGAUGCGAAAGUGUGGGGAGCAAACGGG
rnacentral:rRNA from 1 species